UUACAUACUUUCUCCUCGUUUUCAUGAUCUUUCUACGUUCGACGGAGUCUUCCCAGCGAAAUUAGAAAUUCGCUAUCGUAAAGUUGUUAUUACAAAUUUAACGAUCGCGAUCAAAAUUAUUUCGACUGUGAUUGGUGUCAUCAAUGUUUUUAGAAAUUGAUAAAUAGAUAAAUAGUGAGAGAGAGAGAGAGAGAGAGAGAGAGAGAGAGCAUUGAAUUAGUUAGAUUCUGUUUAAAAAAUUUCAUUAUACUCUUUCAUUCCUCGAUAAUUUUAUUAAAUACAAAAUUUAUAUUACUUUUGUUCGUUGAUCUAAUUUAAUAUAUAGAUUUAUAUUAGAUUUUUUUUAUUGUUGUUGUUUUUUUUUACGAUAAUUAUUAAUAUUAAUGUAAUUAAUACAAGAGCAAAUAUUUUUUCCUAUUUGUUUUCGAUACUUGUUUCAUCGAUUGCUAUUUAUUUAUGGAAGGAUAGAUUGUAAAGAGAAAAAGAACUAAGAAACAAAAAGGAACGAGUUAUAAUAAAAUUGGUAAAAUAUUUGUAAUAUUUGUAAAGAUCUACUAGCGAUAAAGUAGACGACGUAAAUUUGUAAAAUAUUUUAUUAUAAAUUUGUAUUUGACAAUUGUUUUAUCGACAGCUUAUCAAUUGAAAAAUAAUUAUUUAAGUAAAGAUAAAUUUGAACAACGACUCGUGAUAAAAUUUGUUAAACGUUUUAUUUAUAAAUUUGAUAUUUAAAAAGAAAUAUCUCUUUUUCUUUUCUACAGAUAUUAAUAAACUUGUUACUAUUUAUAACGAUAUGUAACGAAGAAAAAAGAAAAAGAAAAAAAUGAAAGAAAGGAAAAAAGAAAAGAAAGAAAAAAUAUAAUAUAUGUAUCAGAAAAGCGUAGUAAUCGAUUCUUGUUGGGAACAAUAAAAUUCCAUUAUUAUUGGGUGUUGUCGGCAUAUCGAUUUAACCCUGGCACGUUUGUUCGUACAAAAGUAAUAGAGACCUGUUAUUUUCUUCGAAAUCGAGGUUGACCGUACUUAUAUAUAACCCGAGGAAAAAUUUAUUUCUAGCGUAUCACGAAAAUUUCGUCGACUUCCUACGUUACGAUAUAAGUUGGAUCGUUUCGAUGAUCCGAUGUGAACGUGAAAGAUGUUCGAACGAUACUAUAUAGUUUAAUACUAUUGGGACCUACUUUCUUGAUGUGAUUUAAAUCCGCACGAGCGAACGUCGAAACGAUUUUUAACAUGAAAGAUGCUCUGCUGCUCUGGCAUUGUUCUCAGGAAUAACGAAUUACUCGAUAUCUUGUGCUUAAAAUACUGCCAUGAAACAAAGACCCGACUCGGCCAAGUAUAAACUUUGUAAGAGAACGUGUAUGACACCAAGAGAGAGAAAGAGAGAGAGAGAGACAGAGAGAGAGAGAGAGACGUCAGCAUUUGGCCCGUCCAAUCCAAAGAAAGAGGCAUAAAGUCUAUUCGAUAAAGUUAAACACAUCACCCUGUAGUGUGACACGCAACAAAUCGCUGACACGGGAUAAGAUUGAACGUGUCGCGAUCAUGUCAAAACAAACAACGAACCCAAACGUGUUUCCAGUUGUUGCGAGAGCUUACGUGGAAACUUUCGUUAAAACCCCGCUUUGUUUCCAUUUUACAGCGACUAAAGUAUUUUACGACGACAAUAAUAGCCGAUAUAUUUUUCUUUCUUCGUGUUCAACAUUCACCAUUGCCAUCGUACGCAGUUACGAUUCGGUACAACGUGAAUAUUUCUGUUAGUGUUAAUCUAAGAACUAGUUUUCACGAAAACGAGCAUCUCAAAAUUCUCUUGUCAUCAUAAGUACUUUUUAAAACAUUUUUUCCAUUAACUCUAGUCGAGCUCUGACUAAAUUGGUUUUCCCUAAACAUUCUAAAAAGAUCUUAGACGGUGAAAAACUUUUACAAUUUAUAUAAAAAAAAAAAAAACAGAAUCUUAUAUCGCACGAUAUAAAAGUCGCAAAUAUCAUUCGACGAAUUUUUCUUGAACAAAAGACAAGUUCAUAGCAGAUUAAUUUACGAUUGAUAACGAUAGUAAAGUCUUAUCUUGCACUGUUCUUUUGUUUAUUUUAGAAUGAAGCAUAUCUCUACGUUUUUUGCACGGUGUUAGUAAAUUUUUUUGUUUUAUCUAAAAAGAAAAUAGCGAAAAAAGAAAAAAAAGAGAGAAAGAAAAGAGAGAGAGAGAGAAAAAAAAGUAUACCGAUAAGGAACGUAAGUAAUGCGAUGUGUUUGGAUCGAAGGUUGACAUCUCGUACCUCCACUCUUUCGUAGAUACUGUAGAUACAUAAAAUAAUAUAAAAAAAGAAAGAAACAGAAAAAAAAGAAAAAAAAGGCUAAGAGAGAGAAAAGAAGAGAAAAGAAGAAAAGAAAAACAAAAAGAACGGAGCAAGCAAGUGAGGAGAUAAGAUUCAUCAUGGAGACGACGAAGUGCAGGAAGUGAACUUUGAAUUCAAUACAGCACAUUACGGUCUCAUCGACAACGUUGUUAUCUAAUCGAUCCACGUUGUCAGACGUGAGAUUACAUAAUUGUCUUUCCGACUGUCGUAACGCACGUCGACUUGUUUAGAAAACAUUAUCGUUCCUUGUGGACCCUCAUUGAAAGUCCAACGAAAUCCGUAUUCUUCUAUCUCUUCUCUCCUCUCUCUCUCUCUCUCUUUAACUUCUCUAGUACGAGCUAAAUUACAUUGGCAUGUAAAAGAAAAGAAAAAAGAAUUCUUGAGAAAAAAAAUUAUCACCGAAAAGACGCCUUAAGAAUAUAUUUAAAUCGAAAUCAAACGCGGAUUCAAUGAUAUCGCUGUCAUUGAAUAAAAUUUGACGCAUAAAUGUUUCGAAAUAAGCGAGCGGCUUAUAUUAGUCAUCAGGGACGUCUUACCAGUGACGGAAAUAAUGUUUCAACGUUAGAAAUGAAUUUUUCAAACGUGGAAGGAAUAAUUGAUAUGCUUAGAUGAUUUACCUUUAAGUCGAUUUGAUAAUAAAAUUGUUUAGUUCGUAUAACUUGUCGUAGGAGUUAACGAUCCUGUUUUACAAUGGAUUAUGAAAUAAGAAAUCUUUUGGAAUGGCAUUGCAAUAAAAUUCUAAUUAAUUUUUAUUAAUUUCAUACUUUUUCUCGACGGAAUUUCUACAGUUAGCAAAAUCAUUAAAAUACGAAUAAAAAUUGAAACAAAAAGGACGCGGCAGAAAUUUUGCAAAUCGAAAUAAUACGUUCGUUCGAACUAAACGAAAUGCUUUAACAAUAAUAUCUUUAACAAACAAACGCUCGCAAAUUUUGAUCUUUGACCAUUCUUAUCAAAAUUUACAUAAUUAAGGAUCAUCGAAUAAUUCGAACAAAAACUGUAUGUUACAUUUUAACAAAAAAAAAAAAAAAAGAAAAGAAAAGAAUAAGAAAGAAAAAAAAAAAAGAGAAAAGAAUCGAUAAUGCUGGUAAACCAAAUGAUUUCUCCCGUCGUGUUCUUCUUUCUUCGGCUCAAAUUGAUAUACGACUAAAAUAGUCACGACAAUAUGGCUAUGUAAUUAAUAAAAAAAAAAAGAAGAAAAA